rnacentral:rRNA from 1 species
UACGUAGGGGGCAAGCGUUGUCCGGAUUUAUUGGGCGUAAAGAGCGUGUAGGCGGUUAGGUAGGUCCGUUGUGAAAACUCGAGGCUCAACCUCGAGACGCCGAUGGAAACCAUCUGACUAGAGUCCGGAAGAGGAGAGUGGAAUUCCUGGUGUAGCGGUGAAAUGCGCAGAUAUCAGGAGGAACACCUGUGGCGAAAGCGGCUCACUGGACCAUAACUGACGCUGAUGCACGAAAGCUGGGGGAGCAAACAGG